rnacentral:misc_RNA from 1 species
AACGCACAUUGCGCCUCUCAUAGCUGGGAGGCAUGCCUGUCUGAGUGUCAGCUUAAUCAAUAGGCCCGUGAGGGCCUGUGUUGGGCCUCGCCCCCAGGCGUCGCCUCGAAAUCAUUUGUCCAUGAGCGGAUGAGAUCCAUUUUGGGACUGGCCGUUUGAGGACCGUAAGACUCUCUGAAUUUGACCUCAGAUCAGGUAGGACUACCGCCUGAACUUAA